AUACAUUUCUCGGCCUUUCGGCUAAGAUCAAGUGUAGUAUCUGUUCUUAUCAGUUUAAUAACUGGUAUGUGGCCCACUGGGUCACAUUUAUUAAACAAUUUUUUAAGGGGGAAGGCCCAUUAUGGUAGCUUGCAACUGAGGCCUUUAAGCGUCGCCCAUGCGUUGCAUUACUGCUUGGGCUUGGCGCGCCCCAC